rnacentral:rRNA from 1 species
UACGGGGGGGGGCAAGCGUUGUUCGGAAUUACUGGGCGUAAAGGGCUCGUAGGCGGCCAACUAAGUCAGACGUGAAAUCCCCUCGGCUUAACCGGGGGAACUGCAUCUGAUACUGGAUGGCUUGAGUUCGGGAGAGGGAUGUGGAAUUCCAGGUGUAGCGGUGAAAUGCGUAGAUAUUCGGAAGAACACCAGUGGCGAAGGCGGCUCACUGGCCCGUUACCGACGCUCAGGCGCGACAGCGUGGGGAGCAACAGG